GUCCCAGUUCGGAUUGCAGGCUGCAACCCGCCUGUAUGAAGUUGGAAUCGCUAGUAAUCGCGGAUCAGCAUGCCGCGGUGAAUACGUUCCCGGGCCUUGUACACACCGCCCGUCACACCAUGAGAGUCGGGAACACCCGAAGUCCGUAGUCUAACUUUCACGAGAGGACGCGGCCGAAGGUGGGUUCGAUAAUUGGGGUGAAGUCGUAACAAGGUAAC
rnacentral:rRNA from 1 species